rnacentral:rRNA from 1 species
AUAGGGACCUGUAUGAAUGGCAUAACGAGGGCUUAGCUGUCUCCUUUUUCAAGUCAAUGAAAUUGAUCUCCCCGUGCAGAAGCGGGGAUAAAGCCAUAAGACGAGAAGACCCUGUGGAGCUUUAGACACCAAGGUAGAUCAUGUUAAGCACCCCAAAACAAAGGACUAAACUAGAUGAGCCCUGCCCUCAUGUC